AUGUUCACCAUGCAGGAAGCUGACAGGGCCCCCAUUUCCCAGAGGGGAAAACUGAGUCAGCAGGCCUUCCAGCAGGCAGCAGACACCACCAGAAAAACCGUCAGAAGGCCAGGGGAGAUGCUGACCUUCUCCUCUCAAGAGCCCUCCCUGGCUCCGUGCCCCGGGGACCCAGCACCACCGCGGAGCCAGAACAAUCUGCCAGCCUCUUCUCUAGCCCUCAAACACUGCUGGGCCCUGCCUCUGCCCAAGCUGGUCCCUCCACCCAAAAUGCCAUCUCUCUGCAAGCUCCACUUGUGUGACCCAAAUCUUUCAAGGUUCCGCCUCAAGGCCAGGCCCUCCAGAAAAACCACCUCCAGCCUCCAGCCCCCGAGGGGCCCUGGAGCCACCGGCCACCGCGUCCCUCCACGCGGGUUUCUGAACCGCCUCCCGGGUCGGGUGAGACCCUGGGGGCUCUUGGGCGGGACACACGGUGGGCGCCCCGAUCCCGGGGCGGGGGCGAAGAGCGGGGGCGCGGGGCAGGGGGGCGGCGGCCUGCUCCCCCCCCCCCCGCCCACUCCGACUCCCUCCCGCGCGGCGGCCCCGGCUUUGAUCCGCUGGCCUCAGCGCCCCAACCUGAUUGGCAUCGAAUUACGCCGCGCGGCGCAGGGAGAUAAUGGCGGGAGGCGCGGCAGACAUGAAAGGGGGGCCGGGGGCGCAGCGGCAGCCCCGGCCGCUGUUAAUGACCCAAUAAAAGGAAGAGGGGGGCGACCCCAGCCUCCCCUCCAGCCCCGCCCCCGAGGCCGCGGCCGCUGCACACAAAGCCGCCGCCGACUCGGAAAUUACCGCGGCUCAGCCCAGCGCAGCGUGACUGCAGGGGGCGGGCUCACCUGGCGGGCGGGCGGGAGGGCGCACGGGCCGGCGGCGGCGGCGGCCGCGCCUGAUUCAUUGCGCCAAAGCUGCAGAUGCGACCUCCCGCCUGCGCCCUGUGCCCCGGCCCGCUCCGGGCUGCGUGCGCGCCUGGAGAGAUGCGGG
rnacentral:lncRNA from 9 species